AGGGAAUUUUGCGCAAUGGGGGAAACCCUGACGCAGCAACGCCGCGUGAACGAGACGCCCUUCGGGGUGUAAAGUUUUGUCAGUGGGGACGAACAAAUGACGGUACCCACAGAGGAAGCACCGGCUAACUCCGUGCCAGCAGCCGCGGUAAUACGGAGGGUGCAAGCGUUGUCCGGAAUCAUUGGGCGUAAAGAGUUCGUAGGCGGCAUGUAAAGUCAGGUGUUAAAGGCUGAGGCUCAACCUCAGUAUGGCACUUGAUACUUGCAAGCUAGAAUGCGGUAGAGGUAAAGGGAAUUCCUGGUGUAGCGGUGAAAUGCUUAGAUAUCAGGAGGAACAUCGGUGGCGUAAGCGCUUUACUGGGCCGUAAUUGACGCUGAGGAACGAAAGCCAGGGUAGCAAAUGGGAUUAGAUACCCCAGUAGUCCUGGCCGUAAACGAUGGAUACUAGGUGUUGCGGGUAUCGACCCCUGCAGUGCCGUAGCAAACGCGUUAAGUAUCCCGCCUGGGGAGUACGCACGCAAGUGUGAAACUCAAAGGAAUUGACGGGGACCCGCACAAGCGGUGGAACAUGUGGUUUAAUUCGAAGCAACGCGAAGAACCUUACCAGGGCUUGACAUCUGACGAACAUUCUUGAAAGAGAGUGGUGCUCUUCGGAGAGCGUCAAGACAGGUGGUGCACGGUUGUCGUCAGCUCGUGUCGUGAGAUGUUGGGUUAAGUCCCGCAACGAGCGCAACCCUUGCUAUUAGUUGCUACGCAAGAGCACUCUAAUAGGACUGCCGUUGACAAAACGGAGGAAGGUGGGGACGACGUCAAAUCAUCAUGCCCCUUAUGACCUGGGCUACACACGUACUACAAUGGAUGUUAACAGAGGGAAGCAAGACAGUGAUGUGGAGCAAACCCCUAAAAACAUUCUCAGUUCAGAUUGCAGGCUGCAACCCGCCUGCAUGAAGAUGGAAUUGCUAGUAAUCGCGGAUCAGAAUGCCGCGGUGAAUACGUUCCC
rnacentral:rRNA from 1 species